UAAGUUUGUAAUUUUCUUGAAAACAAACCGACUGUUAGCUGGACUUGCUGUAGUUGUCUGUUAGUUGCCAAGUACCUAACUAAUAGUCCACACUGAAAUCACAUUGGUAAUUGAUACAAUGUGCCCUACUGCUGGAUAAAUUGUUUUAAAGUAAACAACAAUAGUCUAUAAAAUACAAUGUGCCCAGACCUUAGUGCCUAACCCGAUGUUAAAUUUAGGUUUCAUGUCUUAGAUUUGAUGUAAAGAGGACUUUGUGUAUCUUCAUUUGCUAGAUCUGUUACUGCUUCUCUUCCUUUCUUCCAAAUCCAGCCUCUGCUAAUUGAACCAUUCAGAUUUAAUGGAGGGGGAAAUUACCAUGGUCGUUGGAGGUCAUAGAUCAAGGAGAAAAUGGCGAACAACAAAAGAAAUUCUCGAUCUGUAGAGGCCAUAUCUUCCUAUUGGAUUUGCUGUCUUCCUGGAUCUGUUGUUUUUGUACAUUCCUAAUAUCAACGAGGAUAUGAAGUGCCUGGGAUUGGACACAAAUCGGCUAUCUUAUAGUACUUGGAGCAUUUUGGUAUUUUUUUUCCAUUCAACAAGAGACGCUUCUUGCUUGGAAUGUGGAAACCUAGUACUUGUGACAGUCACAACAAUGUCCUCAGAAAUAUUACGCUUCUAUAUGGUGCCAAUGCUUCAAAAUAUGGAUCAACAAACCAGCGUUGGAAGCAAUUUCCUGAGCAUCUUAUACGGGGCCGGUCCUAAGUCUUUCAAGACCCCUGGCGAGAAUGAUCUUGGAGCCGCUAAUUUGCAUAUUAAUAUAAGUCUUAUAAAUAGUCUUUGGUUCACAAGGCUUGUCAGAGAUCGAGUGCAAUAAGAUCUAUAUAAAUUCAUGAUUCAAAAUUUAUUGAGGAUUAACACAACUAUAUAUAAAUAAAAUAUAUAUUUCAAUGGAAGUUUCAAACUCUACUGCAAA